AUGUGGAUAAAGGCCCGGCAAGACAAGAGCGGCAACUUCAAAGGGCCAGCAGUGAAGAAGAAGGUCGAAAAAAUUGUAAGAAAGUUUGAAGAGGAAAGUGUUUGAAGGAGAAAUCAACCCUGAAGGAACAGAUGAUGUUCUGACUUUGGCGUUGGGAAAUCCUGAGUAUCCUGGUAGGGUACGUGGUGUUGGUGGCUUCGUCAAGCCUUCGGCAUAUUUUCAUCUACCUAAACGCCAAAUGCUAAAUGUAGAAGAUAGUGUCAGGGUAAGUGUUAAGAAGAUACUAGCAGAAGAGAAAGAAAAUAUCAUUGCUCAGGAAAGAGCCAAAUGGGAGUUGGAGAUGGAGCAACAAAUUGCUAGGGAAAGAGCCGCUUGGGAGGAAAGGUUUCAGAAGUUAGAAGCGAUGGUUAAUGGGAAAGAGAUGCCAGCUGACUCACCCAAACCUGUGACACCGCUGAAUGAUUUAGGCUCUGGCCAAGGC
rnacentral:lncRNA from 1 species